rnacentral:rRNA from 1 species
UACGGGGGGGAGCAAGCGUUGUUCGGAUUUACUGGGCGUAAAGGGCGCGUAGGCGGCCAGCACAAGUCAGUUGUGAAAUCUCCGAGCUUAACUCGGAAAGGUCAACUGAUACUGUGCGGCUAGAGUGCAGAAGGGGCAACUGGAAUUCUUGGUGUAGCGGUGAAAUGCGUAGAUAUCAAGAGGAACACCUGCGGCGAAGGCGGGUUGCUGGGCUGACACUGACGCUGAGACGCGAAAAGCGUGGGGGAGCGAACAGG